rnacentral:misc_RNA from 1 species
GUGAAUCAUCGAAUUUUUGAACGCAAAUUGCACUCUCCUCGGAGAGUAUGCCUGUUUGAGGGUCAGACUAUAAAAAAUCUAUAUAGUUGAUGUUUCGCGGUGGCGUUCGUCGGAAAUGGGGGAAUCUUAAAUCUUUUGGUUUUAAGAGACUUAAAAUGUUCUUUUUGGUUCGAUGAAAGUUUCUAAGAUUUAUUUUUUUACAAGUUUAAGGUAUCGAUUUUUAUUAGACGUGACCAUCAUAUCGGAUCGAGUAUACAAUGUUUCAUUAACUGAGCUCAGAUAUG